rnacentral:rRNA from 1 species
UACGAAGGGGGCUAGCGUUGUUCGGAAUUACUGGGCGUAAAGCGCGCGCAGGCGGCUCUUCAAGUCAGGGGUGAAAGCCCAGAGCUCAACUCUGGAACUGCCUUUGAGACUGAAGAGCUUGAGUACGGGAGAGGUGAGUGGAAUUCCCGAGUGAUAGAGGUGAAAUUCGUAGAUAUUGGGAAGAACACCGGUGGGCGAAAGGCGGCUCACUGGCCCGGUUACUGACGCUCAGGCGCGACAGCGUGGGGAUCAAACAGG